rnacentral:rRNA from 1 species
ACGCUGGCGGCAGGCUUAACACAUGCAAGUCGAACGGUAACAGGAAUUAGCUUGCUAAUUUGCUGACGAGUGGCGGACGGGUGAGUAAUGCUUGGGAAUCUGGCUUAUGGAGGGGGAUAACUACGGGAAACUGUAGCUAAUACCGCGUAAAAUCUUCGGAUUAAAGGGUGGGACUUUCGAGCCACCUGCCAUAAGAUGAGCCCAAGUGGGAUUAGGUAGUUGGUUAGGUAAAGGCUGACCAAGCCGACGAUCUCUAGCUGGUCUGAGAGGAUGACCAGCCACACUGGAACUGAGACACGGUCCAGACUCCUACGGGAGGCAGCAGUGGGGAAUAUUGCACAAUGGGGGGAACCCUGAUGCAGCCAUGCCGCGUGAAUGAAGAAGGCCUUCGGGUUGUAAAGUUCUUUCGGUGACGAGGAAGGUUGAUAGGUUAAUAGCCUAUCAAAUUGACGUUAAUCACAGAAGAAGCACCGGCUAACUCCGUGCCAGCAGCCGCGGUAAUACGGGGGGUGCGAGCGUUAAUCGGAAUAACUGGGCGUAAAGGGCACGCAGGCGGUGACUUAAGUGAGAUGUGAAAGCCCCGAGCUUAACUUGGGAAUUGCAUUUCAUACUGGGUCGCUAGAGUACUUUAGGGAGGGGUAGAAUUCCACGUGUAGCGGUGAAAUGCAUAGAGAUGUGGAGGAAUACCGAAGGCGAAGGCAGCCCCUUGGGAAUGUACUGACGCUCAUGUGCGAAAGCGUGGGGAGCAAACAGGAUUAGAUACCCUGGUAGUCCACGCUGUAAACGAUGUCGAUUUGGGGAUUGGGCUUUGAGCUUGGUGCCCGUAGCUAACGUGAUAAAUCGACCGCCUGGGGAGUACGGCCGCAAGGUUAAAACUCAAAUGAAUUGACGGGGGCCCGCACAAGCGGUG